rnacentral:rRNA from 1 species
CCUACGGGAGGCAGCAGUGAGGAAUAUUGGUCAAUGGACGAGAGUCUGAACCAGCCAAGUAGCGUGAAGGAUGACUGCCCUAUGGGUUGUAAACUUCUUUUAUAUGGGAAUAAAAUGUGCCACGUGUGGGAUUUUGUAUGUACCAUAUGAAUAAGGAUCGGCUAACUCCGUGCCAGCAGCCGCGGUAAUACGGAGGAUCCGAGCGUUAUCCGGAUUUAUUGGGUUUAAAGGGAGCGUAGGUGGAUUGUUAAGUCAGUUGUGAAAGUUUGCGGCUUAACCGUAAAAUUGCAGUUGAAACUGGCAGUCUUGAGUACAGUAGAGGUGGGUGGAAUUCGUGGUGUAGCGGUGAAAUGCUUAGAUAUCACGAAGAACUCCGAUUGCGAAGGCAGCUUACUGGACUGCAACUGACACUGAGGCUCGAAAGUGUGGGUAUCAAACAGGAUUAGAUACCCCAGUAGUC